UCCCAGGUGUCUCAGUGGUAAAGAAUCUGACUGCAAAGCAGGAGAUGCAGGUUCAAUCCCUGAAUUGGUUA
rnacentral:tRNA from 1 species